rnacentral:rRNA from 1 species
CCUUUGACGUUAGCGGCGGACGGGUGAGUAACACGUGGGUAACCUACCUAUAAGACUGGGAUAACUUCGGGAAACCGGAGCUAAUACCGGAUAAUAUUUCAACCGCAUGGUUCGAUAGUGAAAGAUGGUUUUGCUAUCACUUAUAGAUGGACCCGCGCCGUAUUAGCUAGUUGGUAAGGUAACGGCUUACCAAGGCGACGAUACGUAGCCGACCUGAGAGGGUGAUCGGCCACACUGGAACUGAGACACGGUCCAGACUCCUACGGGAGGCAGCAGUC